UACGAAGGGUGCAAGCGUUGUUCGGAAUCACUGGGCGUAAAGCGCGCGUAGGCGGCUUGCCAAGUCAGGGGUGAAAUGCCGGGGCUUAACCCCGGAACUGCCUCUGAAACUGGCAAGCUUGAGACUCGGAGGGGAGUGGGGAAUUUCUAAUGUAGCGGUGAAAUGCGUAGAUAUUAGAAGGAACACCGGUGGCGAAGGCGCCACUCUGGACGAGUACUGACGCUGAGGCGCGAAAGCGUGGGGAUCAAACAGG
rnacentral:rRNA from 1 species